rnacentral:tRNA from 1 species
GCCCCUGUAGCCCAACUGGCCGAGGCGCUCGCCUUAAAAGCGGGGUCAUCUGUGGGUUCGAGUCCCACCGGGGGCA